rnacentral:misc_RNA from 1 species
CCAAACUUGGUCAUUUAGAGGAAGUAAAAGUCGUAACAAGGUUUCCGUAGGUGAACCUGCGGAAGGAUCAUUACAAAAUAUUGUAAAACCUUCGCAUCGAAAGGUGCGAAACCACUCUGUGUGAAUUGUACACAUGUAUACAUUGGCAGGUUUUUUCUGAGCUGGUAUUCACUUACAAGCUCAUCUCUUUCGAGAGAGACCUGCCAAAGUCUACCUCUUAAUAAACCUUUUUUAUAUGAUAUAUUUUAUACUACAUAUAUAAAAAUAUAAUACAACUUUCAGCAACGGAUCUCUUGGCUCUCGCAUCGAUGAAGAACGCAGC